UACGAAGGGGGCUAGCGUUGUUCGGAAUCACUGGGCGUAAAGCGCACGCAGGCGGAUGGAUAAGUCGGGGGUGAAAGCACGGGGCUCAACCUCGGAAUUGCCUUCGAUACUGUCGGUCUCGAGUCCGGGAGAGGUGAGUGGAAUUCCUAGUGUAGAGGUGAAAUUCGUAGAUAUUAGGAAGAACACCAGUGGCGAAGUCGGCUCACUGGCCCGGUACUGACGCUCAGGUGCGAAAGCGUGGGGAGCACACAGG
rnacentral:rRNA from 1 species